rnacentral:rRNA from 1 species
CUUCGGUUCACCGAGAAAUGGGAGUGGCGAACGGGUGAGUAACACGUGGGUAACCUACCCAUCAGCGGGGGAUAACACUUGGAAACAGGUGCUAAUACCGCAUAAUUCUUUUCCUCGCCUGGAGGAAAGAUGAAAGACGCUUUUGCGUCACUGAUGGAUGGACCCGCGCUGCAUUAGCUAGUUGGUGGGGUAACGGCUCACCAAGGCCACGAUGCAUAGCCGACCUGAGAGGGUGAUCGGCCACACUGGGACUGAGACACGGCCCAGACUCCUACGGGAGGCAGCAGUAGGGAAUCUUCGGCAAUGGACGGAAGUCUGACCGAGCAACGCCGCGUGAGUGAAGAAGGUUUUCGGAUCGUAAAACUCUGUUGUUAGAGAAGAACAAGGAUGAGAGUAGAAUGUUCAUCCCUUGACGGUAUCUAACCAGAAAGCCACGGCUAACUACGUGCCAGCAGCCGCGGUAAUACGUAGGUGGCAAGCGUUGUCCGGAUUUAUUGGGCGUAAAGCGAGCGCAGGCGGUUUCUUAAGUCUGAUGUGAAAGCCCCCGGCUUAACCGGGGAGGGUCAUUGGAAACUGGGAGACUUGAGUGCAGAAGAGGAGAGUGGAAUUCCAUGUGUAGCGGUGAAAUGCGUAGAUAUAUGGAGGAACACCAGUGGCGAAGGCGACUCUCUGGUCUGUAACUGACGCUGA